CGGCAAUGGCCCUGGACGCCGAUGCCUGAUUAGCUAGUUGGUGAGGUAAAGGCUUACCAAGGCGACGAUCAGUAGCUGGUCUGAGAGGACGACCAGCCACACUGGGACUGAGACACGGCCCAGACUCCUACGGGAGGCAGCAGUGGGGAAUUUUGGACAAUGGGGGAAACCCUGAUCCAGCCAUGCCGCGUGAGUGAAGAAGGCCUUCGGGUUGUAAAGCUCUUUCAGCCGGAACGAAACGGUCACGGCUAAUACCUGUGACUACUGACGGUACCGGAAGAAGAAGCACCGGCUAACUACGUGCCAGCAGCCGCGGUAAUACGUAGGGUGCAAGCGUUAAUCGGAAUUACUGGGCGUAAAGCGUGCGCAGGCGGUUUUGUAAGUCAGAUGUGAAAUCCCCGGGCUUAACCUGGGAACUGCGUUUGAAACUACAAAGGCUAG
rnacentral:rRNA from 1 species